CCUACGGGAGGCAGCAGUGAGGAAUAUUGGUCAAUGGCCGGAAGGCUGAACCAGCCAUGCCGCGUGAAGGUCAGUGCCCUAUGGGCGUUAAACUUCUUUUGUGCGGGAGCAAUAAUGGUCACGUGUGGCCAGACGAGAGUACCGUACGAAUAAGCAUCGGCUAACUCCGUGCCAGCAGCCGCGGUAAUACGGGGGAUGCAAGCGUUAUCCGGAUUUAUUGGGUUUAAAGGGUGCGUAGGCUGUGAGGUAAGUCAGCGGUGAAAUGCCCCCGCUCAACGGGGUGAAGUGCCAUUGAUACUGCCUUGCUGGAAUGCGGAUGCCGUGGGAGGAAUGUGUGGUGUAGCGGUGGAAUGCAUAGAUAUCACACAGAACACCGAUUGCGAAGGCAUCUCACGAAUCCGCGAUUGACGCUGAUGCACGAAAGCGUGGGUAUCAAACAGGAUUAGAUACCCCGGUAGUC
rnacentral:rRNA from 1 species